CUUUGCUCUCGCUAACCAUUUUAGAACAACAUGGUCAGUCAUAGUUCGACAGCCAAUCGUGAGUGCGCUCCGGUUGGGCUCGUCUCUGCCUCGCCAGUCCCUGCUUCUCGUGCUGCUGUCCUCGGCGUGAACGCGCGUGGUACCCAACGCUCGUGAAGAGGAGGAGGAGGAUGUGGCGCGCGGAGGGGAAAUGGCUGCCGAAAACAAGCCGGAAGGACUGAAGAAAAUCCGUAAUCCGGAUCGAAUGUACAGAUCAGCUGUGUGUUAUUCGGCCCAUGCUCCUCCUAAGAGUGUCAGUGAUGACACAGAGACGAACAAUGAACAUGGACAUUUGAAAAUAUACCUGCCCAAAAAGCUGCUUGAAUGUCUACCAAAAUGCUCCACAUUGC